rnacentral:rRNA from 1 species
GACGAACGCUGGCGGCGUGCUUAACACAUGCAAGUCGAACGGAAAGGCCCUGCUUUUGUGGGGUGCUCGAGUGGCGAACGGGUGAGUAACACGUGAGUAACCUGCCCUGGACUUUGGGAUAACUUCAGGAAACUGGGGCUAAUACCGGAUAGGAGCUCCUGCUGCAUGGUGGGGGUUGGAAAGUUUCGGCGGUUGGGGAUGGACUCGCGGCUUAUCAGCUUGUUGGUGGGGUAGUGGCUUACCAAGGCUUUGACGGGUAGCCGGCCUGAGAGGGUGACCGGCCACAUUGGGACUGAGAUACGGCCCAGACUCCUACGGGAGGCAGCAGUGGGGAAUAUUGCACAAUGGGCGGAAGCCUGAUGCAGCAACGCCGCGUGCGGGAUGACGGCCUUCGGGUUGUAAACCGCUUUCGCCUGUGACGCAGCGUGAGUGACGGUAAUGGGUAAAGAAGCACCGGCUAACUACGUG